CUGCCUUAGACCUAGACACCUCCAGUUCUGGGUUCUUAGAGGCCUAAUCCUCUACAAACUCAGUUUUCAGACUGUGAGGGAAAUUCUCUGUCUUAUUGCUUU
ensembl:miRNA MIR4305 microRNA 4305